UUGCACGCUGGCGGCAUGCCUUACACAUGCAAGUCGAACGGCAGCACGGGUGCUUGCACCUGGUGGCGAGUGGCGAACGGGUGAGUAAUACAUCGGAACAUGUCCUGUAGUGGGGGAUAGCCCGGCGAAAGCCGGAUUAAUACCGCAUACGAUCUACGGAUGAAAGCGGGGGACCUUCGGGCCUCGCGCUAUAGGGUUGGCCGAUGGCUGAUUAGCUAGUUGGUGGGGUAAAGGCCUACCAAGGCGACGAUCAGUAGCUGGUCUGAGAGGACGACCAGCCACACUGGGACUGAGACACGGCCCAGACUCCUACGGGAGGCAGCAGUGGGGAAUUUUGGACAAUGGGCGAAAGCCUGAUCCAGCAAUGCCGCGUGUGUGAAGAAGGCCUUCGGGUUGUAAAGCACUUUUGUACGGAAAGAAAUCCUUGGCCCUAAUACGGUCGGGGGAUGACGGUACCGGAAGAAUAAGCACCGGCUAACUACGUG
rnacentral:rRNA from 1 species